UACGGGGGGAGCAAGCGUUGUUCGGAUUUACUGGGCGUAAAGGGCGCGUAGGCGGCGCAACAAGUCACUUGUGAAAUCUCCGGGCUUAACUCGGAACGGUCAAGUGAUACUGUUGUGCUAGAGUGCGGAAGGGGCAACUGGAAUUCUCGGUGUAGCGGUGAAAUGCGUAGAUAUCGAGAGGAACACCUGCGGCGAAGGCGGGUUGCUGGGCCGACACUGACGCUGAUGCGGCGAAAGCCAGGGGAGCGAACGGG
rnacentral:rRNA from 1 species